rnacentral:rRNA from 1 species
UACGUAGGGCGCAAGCGUUGUCCGGAAUUAUUGGGCGUAAAGAGCUCGUAGGCGGACUGUCACGUCCGAUGUGAAAAGCUAGGGCUUAACCCUGGCCUUGCAGUGGAUACGGGCAGACUAGAGGUAGGUAGGGGAGAAUGGAAUUCCCGGUGUAGCGGUGAAAUGCGCAGAUAUCGGGAGGAACACCGGUGGCGAAGGCGGUUCUCUGGGCCUGACCUGACGCUGAGGAGCGAAAGCGUGGGGAGCGAGCAGG